rnacentral:lncRNA from 1 species
GGACUUGCAUAUGGGGAGGGGAAAGGAUGACUGUAUUUUACUAUGUUAGCAGUGGUGGGAUUAGAGAUAGGUUUUAAUUAUUUAUUUCCAUCAUUGCAUAUUUUCUGAAUUUCUAGUGAUGUGUAUGUGUAUCUAUUUAUUUAAAUGAAGUAUAAGACUUGAAUUGACCUUGAGAAGUCAUUCAGGUUUAGACUAUCAAUGGCAAGGGUUCCCUUGGACUCUGU